CCUACGGGAGGCAGCAGUGGGGAAUAUUGGACAAUGGGCGAAAGCCUGAUCCAGCCAUGCCGCGUGUGUGAAGAAGGCCUUCGGGUUGUAAAGCACUUUCAGUGGGGAAGAAAGCCUUGGGGCUAAUACCCUCGAGGAAGGACAUCACCCACAGAAGAAGCACCGGCUAACUCCGUGCCAGCAGCCGCGGUAAUACGGAGGGUGCGAGCGUUAAUCGGAAUUACUGGGCGUAAAGCGCGCGUAGGCGGUCUGAUAAGCCGGUUGUGAAAGCCCCGGGCUCAACCUGGGAACGGCAUCCGGAACUGUCAGGCUAGAGUGCAGGAGAGGAAGGUAGAAUUCCCGGUGUAGCGGUGAAAUGCGUAGAGAUCGGGAGGAAUACCAGUGGCGAAGGCGGCCUUCUGGACUGACACUGACGCUGAGGUGUGAAAGCGUGGGUAGCAAACAGGAUUAGAUACCCUAGUAGUC
rnacentral:rRNA from 1 species